rnacentral:snoRNA from 2 species
AGUCGAUGAUGAUAAAUCCAAAGGCUUGUUUCUCAAGAACAUUCGCAGUGGCCGCCUAAGAGCUUUCGCCUUCGCCGGGCUUGAGAGCUUGUGCUGUUUCACUCCUUCCUUGGAUGUCUGAGACC